AUACCCACAGAUGCUUCUGUACAUGGUGUUUCUCCCGUGCUGAGAAGCCACCUGGUAAAAGCAUUUAGCCCCGCCCCUUCCGGUUCUGUCACCAUAAAACCCCAGGCAUCCCAGAAGGAGGCUUCACUUUUGGCCAGAGCAACCCACAAAAUGGAGCACCGCUAAAGACAGACAGACCCUUCUUGCGAUCCUUUGUUUUGAAUUGCCACAGAAGGGAUGUGCACCAGUAUCUGACAUGGAUUCCAGCCUCCUGCUACAGUCCAAAGACAUUCACUGUAAUUAAUUCCUGUGGAGUGUGGGACUUUGAAAGUUUGAUUGUUUAGUGACUGAAUGCAGGAGUCUGUGUGAGUGUGCCUUGCAAAGAAGCAAAGUUCAUUCACAUACGUUCAACCUGAAAGCCCAAAAAUGAACGAAAACUGGUUUAUGAGUAAAUGGAUCGAGAGAAACAUUAGAUUAGUCCAGGAUCAUUUUCAGUGAGUAGCUCCACAUUGUGCCUCAUGUGUUCACAGAAUUUACUUUAGUCAUGUAGAUGCGUUCUCAAGAUAGGCCUUGACUCUCACAGGAGGCUGGGGGACAGACCCAGCUGGGUCACUUGAAAGGACUGGGAGGUUGCCUAUACGUCCCCCGGGCCACGAGGGGGCAACCGCCCUGGAUCUUGAGGGGACCACAGGAGAGGAGCAAGGAGGCUCAAGCCCAUUGGGGCCUGUGGCCACUGCCAGGGGGCGCCCUGAGCCUCAGAGAGCCCGGGAAACAUUCACUUCCACCACA